AGACCUUAACAGAAACCUCACUAAAGGAGUUAUACAGAUGGCAAAUAAGCAAAUGAAAAGAUGCUCUACAUCCUGUCAUCAGAAAGAAACAAAUUGAA